UUAACAAAGGAAAGCAUGGCCACAUGGUUGAAUCAGGGCUUGGUGAGGCUGGGAAGGGGUCGGACAAGGGGGCUAAUGUCCACCCCGGGUGUCUGAGGCAGUGCCCCGAGUCCAUUCCCAUUGUGACAUAGAACCUGUCCUCCAUCCAAUAGCAACAGCAGGGAGCAAUUGUUAAUUCACAGGGCGGGGUCGAGGUAUCCAGACGGGGCUGGACACAGGACUGGACCCGGACCGCUGCUUCUGCCUUCUCAUAAUGACCCCCUCUAAAGUUGCUUUAUGGAGGGUGGACAACAUGUCCUGAGAUCCAUGAGACAGGAUUUGUCAUCUUGGUCACAACAGUGAUACAGUGUCUGAUGGGGUCUGAAUCUCAACCAAGUUCCCAAUCAAAGCCAUUAGGGUUCUAAUUGCACAGCAGAGCCUGAUCUUGUCAUUUCCAUCAAAGUCCCUUUCAGAUGAUUAAUGAGUUUGUGGGGAAGAAAGAAAAGAUGGAGAUUGUACUGGCAGUUUGCCAGCGAUAUCUGAAAAGGUAAAUUAUGCCAGACUUUCUGCCGAGUGGAAACUCAGUCUGCCGAAGGACAGCACAGUUGACGGCUGGGCUCGGAGCGCGAGCAGGAUGUUCUGAUCAGCCCCAAAAUGGAUCAGCACUUGUGACCCACACAAUCAGAGCCUAAUGCCUUUCAGAAUUGGAAAAGCUAUCUUCUGGGUAUUUAUUUUAUAGACACAUUAAUGGGAAAACUUCUUUCACCUUCUUGAAAAUACGCUAUUUUGUCAGAAAUUGAGAACUGAUUUUGACCAUCACUAAUCUGCCCACUUGUACCACAGAGCAACGGACAACAUUUUGCCCAGUUCAAACCAGUGACAGCAGGGAGCAAAAAUCAUUAAAAUUCUGGGUUUAAGACUAUCCCAUAAUUGAUCUCAAUCCUGCUGCCAAAAUAUUGCUUGUGUUAUAACUAUUUCAAGAAUAAAUCAGCGAUUUGUCCUUUU